UAGGGAAUCUUCGGCAAUGGGGGCAACCCUGACCGAGCAACGCCGCGUGAGUGAAGAAGGUUUUCGGAUCGUAAAGCUCUGUUGUAAGAGAAGAACGUGUGUGAGAGUGGAAAGUUCACACAGUGACGGUAACUUACCAGAAAGGGACGGCUAACUACGUGCCAGCAGCCGCGGUAAUACGUAGGUCCCGAGCGUUGUCCGGAUUUAUUGGUCGUAAAGCGAGCGCAGGCGGUUUAAUAAGUCUGAAGUUAAAGGCAGUGGCUUAACCAUUGUUCGCUUUGGAAACUGUUAAACUUGAGUGCAAAAGGGGAGAGUGGAAUUCCAUGUGUAGCGGUGAAAUGCGUAGAUAUAUGGAGGAACACCGGUGGCGAAAGCGGCUCUCUGGUCUGUAACUGACGCUGAGGAUCGAAAGCGUGGGGAGCAAACAGG
rnacentral:rRNA from 1 species